ensembl:lncRNA
GAGUGGGAGGCAGGAGCCAACUGAGGCUUGGAGAGAAAUAAGACGGUUCUUUUGUGCCCCUGAGGACACCCCAGGCAGAUGCUGAUCUAUCAGCAUUUAUACUGAAUGCAACACAGAAUUCCUUUUGUGACUGCUUUUAUAAAUAGAAUGGGCCAGACUCUUUCUGGGAAAUGCCUGGGUGAUUCACGUGACCUUCUAAGAUAGGUGCUUGUAGUUCUGUAACACUGGAGGGGCAGAGAAGGGAGAGGCUCUUUUCCUGAGCCCUGGCAUUUAGAAGUGUGGUUUAGAGAAGAAAAAAAGGAGAGUGGCAGUAAUGAGUAAAGUAGUAAAUGUUUCCCCAAGAGGAUGAUUCUUGGAGCAAAAAAGGAUCUGAGAGCGGAAGGGGCUGGCAGAGAGGGGUGCACGGGUGUUUGCUGGAGCACCUCCCGAGUUCCUUCAGGAAGAAAGCUCCUACUUCAUGGUCCUGAUGACUUCUGUCCCUUCUCCCCAACAACUCGGCACAGCAUACCCACCUACAUGGAGUUUCGUUCAGGUGGGAUCUUCCCGACCCAGGGAUCAAACCCACGUCUCCGGUGUCUUCUGCAUUGGCAGACAGAUUCUUUACCACUGAGCCACCUUUGUUCAGGAACAGGGUAUUAAGAAGUAUGAUUAACUUCAGAUCACAGUUGAAGAAAGUGAGGCCCAGAAAGUCAGAGUGCCACGUGCCAGUUUCUUCUGCAGCUUCCUCACCUCUCUCAGACUUCCUUGAAC